rnacentral:lncRNA from 1 species
AAUUAUUGAGUGCUACAUAAAACUAACAGUUAAGUAUGGGAUAUGCAAUAUUUGUUUUCUUUCAUCUUGACUUACAUGAGUUUGAAUGAAGAGAAACAAAAGGUUCGUCUGUGCAUGUAUUUGGAUGUUAAUUCCUGUGUAGUUUAAUGUUUUAUAAAAAUUUGGCAGUUGCCUCCCUUUGAUUGCUUGAAUGAUCUUAAUGUUAUAAUUUUAAACUUACAAAACUUGAUUUGUUACCUUUGUAUAUAUAACUGGUAUUUAUUGCA